rnacentral:rRNA from 1 species
UACGUAGGUGGCAAGCGUUGUCCGGAAUUAUUGGGCGUAAAGAGCUCGUAGGCGGCUUGUCACGUCGGGUGUGAAAGACCGGGGCUUAACCCCGGUUCUGCAUUCGAUACGGGCUGGCUAGAGUGUGGUAGGGGAGAUCGGAAUUCCUGGUGUAGCGGUGAAAUGCGCAGAUAUCAGGAGGAACACCGGUGGCGAAGGCGGAUCUCUGGGCCAUUACUGACGCUGAGGAGCGAAAGCGUGGGGAGCGAACAGG